CAGCUCAGAUUGAACGCUGGCGGCAUGCCUUACACUACGCAAGUCGAACGGCAGCACGGGAUUUUGCUCCUGGUGGCGAGUGGCGAACGGGUGAGUAAUACAUCGGAACGUACCCAGUAGUGGGGGCUAACGCACCGAAAGGUGCAGUCCGCAUACGACCUAAGGGUGAAAGCGGGGGACCGUAAAAGCCUCGCGCUAUUGGAGCGGCCGAUGUCUGAUUAGCUAGUUGGUGAGGUAAAGGCUCACCAAGGCUUCGAUCAGUAGCUGGUCUGAGAGGACAUCAGCCACACUGGGACUGAGACACGGCCUAGACUCCUACGGGAGGCAGCAGUGGGGAAUUUUGGACAAUGGGCGAAAGCCUGAUCCAGCAAUGCCGCAGGUGUGCGAAGAAGGCCUUCGGGUUGUAAAGCACUUUUGUCAGGGAAGAAAUCUUUUAGGCUAAUACCUUAGAAGGAUGACGGUACCUGAAGAAUAAGCACCGGCUAACUACGUGCCAGCAGCCGCGGUAAUACGUAGGGUGUUAGCGUUAAUCGGAAUUAUUCUGGGCGUAAAGCGUGCGCAGUGGUUUGUUAAGACAGUCGUGAAAUCCCCGGGCUUAACCUGGUAUGCUGCGAUUGUGACUGGCAAGCUUGUACGGCAGAGGGGGGUGGAAUUCCUGGUGUAGCAGUGAAAUGCGUAGAGAUCAGGAGGAACACCGAUGGCGAAGGCAGCCCCCUGGGCUAGUACUGACGCUCAUGCACGUAAGCGUGGGGAGCAAACAGGAUUAGAUACCCUGGUAGUCCACGCCCUAAGCGAUGUCAAUUAGUUGUUGGUUCUUUAUUGAAUUAGUAACGAAGCUAACGCGUGAAAUUGACCGCCUGGGGAGUAUCGUCGCAAGAUUAAAACUCAAAGGAAUUGACGGGGACCCUUACAAGCGGUGGAUGAUGUGGAUUAAUUCGAUGCAACGCGAAAAACCUUACCUACCUUGAGACAUGUUCGGAAUUCUGCAGAGAUGCGGAAGUGCUCGAAAGAGAACCGGAACACAGGUGCUGCCUGGCUGUCGUCAGCUCGUGUCGUGAGAUGUUGGGUUAAGUCCCGUAUGAGCGCAACCCUUAUCAUUAGUUGCUAUCGCAAGGGCACUCUACAGGAGACUGCCGGUGACAAGGAGGAAGGUGGGGAUGACGUCAAGUCCUCAUGGCCCUUAUGGGUAGGGCUUCACACGUCAUACAAUGGUCGGUACAGAGGGCUGCCAACCCGCAAGGGGGAGCCAAUCCUUUAAAACCGAUCGUAGUCCGGAUUGAGGUCUGCGGUACUCGACCUCAUGAAGUCGGAAUCGCUAGUAAUCGCGGAUCAGCAUGUCGCGGUGAACGUCUUGUACACAACACCAUGGGAGCGGGUUUUACCAGAAGUAGCUAGCCUAACCGCUGGAGGGCGACGACCACGGUAUUGAUUCGUGACUGGGGUGAAGUCGUAACGAUUU
rnacentral:rRNA from 1 species